rnacentral:ncRNA from 2 species
CAGUCUUGACCGGGAGAGCGCAGAAACCAGCUGCCGCCGAAGGGGCAUCACCCGAAAACUCUCAGGCAACCGGACCGGUCGGGGGAC